rnacentral:rRNA from 1 species
CCUACGGGGUGCAGCAGUAGGGAAUCUUCCACAAUGGGCGAAAGCCUGAUGGAGCAACGCCGCGUGGGUGAAGAAGGUCUUCGGAUCGUAAAACCCUGUUGUUAGAGAAGAAAGUGCGUGAGAGUAACUGUUCACGUUUCGACGGUAUCUAACCAGAAAGCCACGGCUAACUACGUGCCAGCAGCCGCGGUAAUACGGAGGUGGCAAGCGUUAUCCGGAUUUAUUGGGCGGAAAGGGAACGCAGGCGGUCUUUUAAGUCUGAUGUGAAAGCUUUCGGCUUAACCGGAGUAGUGCAUUGGAAACUGGGAGACUUGAGUGCAGAAGAGGAGAGUGGAACUCCAUGUGUAGCGGUGAAAUGCGUAGAUAUAUGGAGGAACAUCAGGGGCGAAGGUGACUUACUGGACUGUAACUGACACUGAGGCACGAAAGCGUGGGGAGCAAACAGGAUUAGAUACCCGGGUAGUC